AAGAACAAAGGGAAAAAGGAAGAGAACAAACCCUAGGUGGGGAAUUUGAAAAGAAAAAGUGUGGAAAAUCAAGGAAAAUAAGUGAAAAAGGUAAGAUUUUUCAAUUUAAACUUGAAAUCUAUUUUCCUUAAGCAUUUUCCCUUAUUUUUCAUGAUUAAAUUACAUAUUUUCAUGAUGAAUUCAUGGCUGGUCAAAAUGGGUAUGGAGAGAGAAAGAUGUUGGAUUGAUUUGAUUUUAAGUUAUGUUAGUGUUUUUAGUUAGUUUAGCAUAUUUGAAGCAAAACAAUAAGAAAAGAAUCCAUUUUCCCCAUGAAUCUUCAUUGGCCAAAUCUUCCUUGAUAUGUGUGGGAGAUGGAUUGUUAUUAUUUCAAGAGAAAUGGCUUAGAAAAUGAUGAAUAAUGGUGAGAAAAUUAAGUAGAAAAAAUCACGGUGUUAGUGCACUGUAAUGGCCGAAUUUUUCCAUGAAGAAAUGGGAAGGUUUUGAUGCUGAAAUUGGUGUUAUUUGAAUAAUGUUUGGUGAAUUGAGGUAUUAGAAAAGAAAUGGAGUAAUUUGGGAUUAAAUUGGACGCGUUAGUAAUUUAAUCGGGUGAUAAGAUGAAUUAGGCCAAUACUGGGGAUUAGAUGAUUAUCAGUGCAUUUUGCAUUCCAUAUCAUGCAUUAGUAGUCUAAAUUAGUUUAAUUUCGAUUUAGUACCAAUGAAGUAAGUUUCUUGAUUUUGUACUGUGUCAAGGUGGUGAGUCCUCCGAUAAAGGUAAGGGAAUUACACCCUAGGACCAGUAGUCUAAGUAUUUCGAGAAUCUGCACUCUAGACAUUGUGAGUAAACUUACUGUCAUUUUAAUUAUCGAGGGUGACUUUUAGAUGAUUUCAUGAAUUCUAUGGAAAAAUGGAUUUAAAAAAGUAAAUUUUCAUGUUUUAUGAAUAAAUGUGUUUCAAUGAAAUUAAUUUAUAAAUUGUUUUGAAAUUAAUAAUGAUUUUGAAAAAUAGAGUACAUAGAGAUUGCUAUUUGUUGCAAUGUGAUUGUUUACAUUGAUUAGCUUAUGAUAAAUUGAGCAUGAUUGGCUGGUUGACAAUUGUAUUGAAAUACGGAUUGGUUGUUUGUCUUGAAAGGCAGUGAAUUACAAUAAUUGUCAUAUCAUGUUAUUGAGUUUUAUUGAUUGGUGGGAUAAUUAUUAGCUUACUGCAGUAGGCGAGUUUCGUGGACCAGCCUAUGAGAGGGGUACGGUAACCCCGUUUAUAUCUGCUCACCUCGGUUGUAAAGGCGCGUAGGGUAGCUCCUAAGGUGAUAUUUGAGUUCACUUCACGCCGAACCACCACGUGAUGGUGAACUUAGCCAACUCCAAGGAAUGACUCUGCUUUUUGAACUAAAAAAAUACGUUUUUGUGUAUACAAAAUUUUUAACAACCUUGGCGGUCUCGGUAGGAUGCCUCGGCCAAGGUGUCCCCGAGAAUGGAUUUAUGGCACAAGCUUAGUUUUUAUGAGAUUCAUAAGCCUCUUUACAUAUUUUGAAUGAAAUGUGUUCUAAUGCUGUGACCCAGUUUAUGAUGAUUUAUUUUAUUAUCUUUAUGUACUCAACUCUAGAUGUUUAUGAUGAUGUCUGUUUACUCACUGGGAUUUUAUAAUCUCACCACCCCCUUUCCAUCCAUUUCAGGCUCAGAAUAGACUAUAGAUAACUGAUCCCAUCGAGGACUACCGUUGGGUUUGCAUUCUUCAAACUGUAGGUUUAUAGUCCUCUUUACUUUUGUUUAUUUGGAGGCCCACUUGUUAUUGUAAAUUAAAUUUCAUACUCUAGAUAUCUAUACUACUGUAUGUAGGAAUUUAUUUUGCUUUGACGCUGUAAAAAUUGUUUACGCAG
rnacentral:lncRNA from 1 species